rnacentral:lncRNA from 1 species
GUCAGAAAAAGGUCAAUUAAUGUGGCAGGCCUGUCCUUAUCAAUAUGCUACUGUGGCACCAACUUCUAUUUCUUUACAGUAAUAUGUCAUAGACGCAGCCAGCUUCAUGGCCGAAUCCCACCACAGGUCCCACCGAUGCAGUUCCCACCUGGAACAAGCAGUUACAGUUGCGAUCUUACCACCUUCAUCAGAACCAGAAACACUGGAGGAAUGGGACUGAAGGAGACAUACAAAAGGUAAAAUACUUGUGAUGAGAAAAACCUUCCCUUUGUCACGUAGACUAAUUUCUUACAGAUGUGUUAUUCUCCUAAUAGAAAAGCGGAAUGUAAAAU